CUGUGUUGCUUACCAAUGGAAUGGAAUUCGAUGGUUUCGGUAUUAUCAUCCGCCCCGUGCCCCUUGGGGUGUGGGGCGGACGCGAGGCGGUCUUCGUGUUCCGGGCACGCCCCCAAUGGGGUGGCUGCUGCGGCCCAUGGAGUUCCUGCCCGUGCUCUCGGAUGCGGAAUGCUAUGACGCGUGGGUGCGAGGUCCCGGCCUCGAUUCUCCCCGAAUGUAUGCAAACCUACUCCUGCGAACGACUGCCGUGCCCGUCUUGAUCCGAAUGCCCGGGCCCUCCAACGAGGCCUGGCCCAGUCGGCCCAUGCCCGCACCGGCNUCGAAGGAGGAAUGCUACCUGGUUGAUCCUGCCAGUAGUCAUAUG
rnacentral:misc_RNA from 1 species